rnacentral:rRNA from 1 species
GACGAACGCUGGCGGCGUGCCUAACACAUGCAAGUCAACUUGAAGGAAGGAGCAAUCUGACCUGAUGGUGGCGCAAGGGUGCGUAACGCGUAAGUAACUUGCCCCAAGGUAAGGAAUAACGUCGAGAAAUCGGCGCUAAUACCUCAUAAUGCAGCGGAUCCGCAUGGAUAUGUUGUUAAAGGUUUACCGCCUUGGGAUAGGCUUGCGUCUGAUUAGCUAGUUGGUGUGGUAAUGGCGCACCAAGGCUACGAUCAGUAACUGGUCUGAGAGGAUGAUCAGUCACACUGGAACUGAGACACGGUCCAGACUCCUACGGGAGGCAGCAGUGAGGAAUAUUGGGCAAUGCACGAAAGUGUGACCCAGCAACGCCGCGUGGAGGAUGAAGGUAUUCUAUAUCGUAAACUCCUGUGAGAGC